GCCAGAAAUUGGCGCCAUCCUUCACAUCGGUGAAUCGGGACCCUAACACCCAUUACCCCAGGUUUAUUGUUAUUGCCAUUAACAGUGUUGGUGGCAUUAUCAUUUCAAGACCAUCAUUGAUUAUUAGCAGGAAAUCCCACUUCCAUCUGGAUGUCUGGAUGAACUACUGAAAGCCACUGAGUGUCCUGCAGCAGGUGAACUGUGGCCAGAGCCCAAGGAUGAAGGGGGCUCCUUCUGUCUGUGACUGAAGAGAAAGCCUGAGGUAUAGCAGACCCAGGCCC